rnacentral:rRNA from 1 species
GACGGAGGGUGCUAGCGUUGUUCGGAAUCACUGGGCGUAAAGGGCGUGUAGGCGGCCAAGUAAGUGAGAUGUGAAAUCCCCCGGCUUACCCGGGGACCUGCAUCUCAUACUGCUUGGCUUGAGUAUGGGAGAGGAUGAGGGAAUUCCUGGUGUAGCGGUGAAAUGCGUAGAUAUCAGGAGGAACACCGAUGGCGAAGGCAGCCCCCUGGGCUAACACUGACGCUCAUGCACGAAAGCGUGGGGAGCAAACAGG